AUAAACCUAUUAAAAUUUCUCUGGAAUAUCAAAGAAACUAAUGGGUGGGUGAAAAAUAAAUAAGAGGAACCUAAGGUUGAGUUCCACAUGCAGUUUAAUGCCCAGACUCUCUCAACACUGUGACAUAUAACCGUGAACAUACCUCGCUCCUAUUUCAUAUCGAUUUUUUCGACCGGCUUUCCAGUCUCGACGUGACGUCACGCGUCGUAUCCCGAUCGCUCCCCUGAGCGCGUGGUCCCGGUCGCGAGCACAUGGAAGUGAGGUCGAGGUCUGUGUGCGAGAGACGCGCGACUGAUGGUCAGAAAAACGGAAUAUAAACACAAAAAAAGCGGCGACGGGAUCGAGCCGGACAGUCCGGCUGCUGCCGCUGCUGCUACUGCUGCUACUGCUGGUGGAGGUGGUGGUGGUGGAGGUGGAGGUGGAUUGUGCAGACCCUCACGCAAGGCGCCGGGCGACUAAAGAUACCGAGUGCAAAAGGAUGCAAAGGUGGAAGCAGUCGGUGCUGGAUUCAGUUUCAGUGCAUCUUCAGCGCACACACACACAUUGCCGUAGUCACACGUACGCGCAGCAUGGUUUUUUAAUAGUAUCUACUUCCCCCUUUGUGUCGUUAGAGGACACAGAUACACCCUGACUGGGCCCCUGUGGUGCUCUACAUUGUGGUUGGGAAGUACCUAGUGUUACAACUGUCAUGCGGGCCUGCUUAAAGGGGCGGCGCUUAUCACUAGCAGCUUUUCAGUCACCUUAGGAAGGGGUCACUUACUGUAAAUUAGAAGCUGUGAUCCUAAAGAGUAAAAAAGCAGCCCGUCUGCGCGCUCUCAUGCGAUGCGAACGGAUCUGAAGGACACUCAUUUGUCACAUCGCGCAUUCGUACGUAACGCCUCUGCGCUAAAUCUCCCUUUUGCGGUUGUUCUGAUGUUCAGCUUGAUGCUGAAAAGGUGAUAAAUGCACUGGCCCUGGAGGAUGUAGUAUCUGGUCAGUCAGCGUUUUGGAUUGAGACGUGUCCGUACGACACAAUACAACUCAAAAAUCCUUUCGAACCACGGCCUCUGGAAUGAAAACACGCUCGAAUCAACGUUGCUCUCUAGUUUUGUUUUGUUUUGUUAAUAAAUUCUGAAUUUCAUAACCUUCAUGAAUCUAAGAUGUAGUGCGGGACUGUUGAAUGCAUCGAUUUUCACCAGCGUACCUAACGAGCUGGGAAGCGAGUGCACGUUUAAAUCCAUUAAACUCUUUCCGUGCUCUUGAGAAAUACACUGUAAGUAAGUAUUUUAGGCUUGAAUACAUCUCAAAGUUACCAUGUCUCCAAACCACCAUUCAGGCAAAUGGGAGGGAAAUGUGUGUUGUUUUUUCUUGCUUCAUGUUCUCAUGCGUUUUUAGGCCUUUAAUGACCCUUCAGUGUUGAAUGAUUUGAAAAUAAAUGUGUCGCCCUGGCAGCAUGUUUACGGA